rnacentral:rRNA from 2 species
AUGCAAGUCGAACGAACUCUGGUAUUGAUUGGUGCUUGCAUCAUGAUUUACAUUUGAGUGAGUGGCGAACUGGUGAGUAACACGUGGGAAACCUGCCCAGAAGCGGGGGAUAACACCUGGAAACAGAUGCUAAUACCGCAUAACAACUUGGACCGCAUGGUCCGAGUUUGAAAGAUGGCUUCGGCUAUCACUUUUGGAUGGUCCCGCGGCGUAUUAGCUAGAUGGUGGGGUAACGGCUCACCAUGGCAAUGAUACGUAGCCGACCUGAGAGGGUAAUCGGCCACAUUGGGACUGAGACACGGCCCAAACUCCUACGGGAGGCAGCAGUAGGGAAUCUUCCACAAUGGACGAAAGUCUGAUGGAGCAACGCCGCGUGAGUGAAGAAGGGUUUCGGCUCGUAAAACUCUGUUGUUAAAGAAGAACAUAUCUGAGAGUAACUGUUCAGGUAUUGACGGUAUUUAACCAGAAAGCCACGGCUAACUACGUGCCAGCAGCCGCGGUAAUACGUAGGUGGCAAGCGUUGUCCGGAUUUAUUGGGCGUAAAGCGAGCGCAGGCGGUUUUUUAAGUCUGAUGUGAAAGCCUUCGGCUCAACCGAAGAAGUGCAUCGGAAACUGGGAAACUUGAGUGCAGAAGAGGACAGUGGAAC